rnacentral:tRNA from 1 species
GAGGGUAUAGCUCAGUGGUAGAGCAUUGGCUUAGCGUGCACCAGGUCCUGGGUUCAAUCCCCAGUACCUCCA